rnacentral:snoRNA from 1 species
UUUGAGAAAGCGUUGGAAACGCCUCAUAGAAUAAAUAUGUUGUUUCCUUUAUUCACAAAACUGUGUGUUAGAUCUGUGGGAAGGAAUUACAAGACAGCU